UGCUCUCAGUGGACAUGAUGCUCCGCCGCCCAUAUAUCCCGUUAUGUAUAUCCUGUGUGCGCUCUAGUUCCGUUGGGACCCUGAAGAGUAAGAGUAAGCACACUAACCGUGCAUUAUACAUGACC
rnacentral:snoRNA from 15 species